rnacentral:rRNA from 1 species
AUUGAACGCUGGCGGCAUGCCUUACACAUGCAAGUCGAACGGCAGCGGGGACUUCGGUCCGCCGGCGAGUGGCGAACGGGUGAGUAAUGUAUCGGAACGUACCUUUCAGUGGGGGGUAACGUAGCGAAAGUUACGCUAAUACCGCAUAUUCUCUGAGGAGGAAAGCAGGGGACCUUCGGGCCUUGUGCUGAUGGAGCGGCCGAUAUCAGAUUAGCUAGUUGGUGAGGUAAAGGCGCACCAAGGCGACGAUCUGUAGCGGGUCUGAGAGGAUGAUCCGCCACACUGGGACUGAGACACGGCCCAGACUCCUACGGGAGGCAGCAGUGGGGAAUUUUGGACAAUGGGCGCAAGCCUGAUCCAGCCAUGCCGCGUGAGUGAAGAAGGCCUUCGGGUUGUAAAGCUCUUUCGGACGGGAAGAAAUUGGUGGGGCUAAUAUCCCCAUCGGAUGACGGUACCGUAAUAAGAAGCACCGGCUAACUACGUGCCAGCAGCCGCGGUAACAC